rnacentral:rRNA from 1 species
AGUAAACGCUAGCGGCGUGCCUAAGGCAUGCAAGUCGCACGAGAUAGUGAGCUUCGGCUCAUGUGUAAAGUGGCGCACGGGUGAGGAAUAUUUAGAUAACGUACCUAUUCACUGGGGAUAACUAGGCGAAAGCUUAGCUAAUACCGAAUGAACCGGUUGGGACUGCGGUCCUGAUUGGUAAAGCCGUAAGGCGUGAAUAGAGCGGUUUAAAUCCUAUUAGUUAGUUGGUAAGGUAAUGGCUUACCAAGACGAUGAUGGGUAGCUGGUCUGAGAGGAUGUACAGCCACACUGGAACUGAAACACGGUCCAGACUCCUACGGGAGGCAGCAGCUAGGAAUCUUGCGCAAUGGGGGAAACCCUGACGCAGCAACGCCGCGUGAGUGAUGAAGGCCUUCGGGUUGUAAAGCUCUUUUAGUAGGGACAAAAAAAAUGAUGGUACUUACAGAAAAAGCACCGGCAAACUAUGUG